CCUGGCUCAGAACGAACGCUGGCGGCGUGCUUAACACAUGCAAGUCGAACGCGAAAGGGACUUCGGUCCUGAGUAAAGUGGCGCACGGGUGAGUAACGCGUAGAUAACCUGUCUUCAUGUCUGGAAUAAUACGCCAAAGGGGUACUAAUACCGGAUAUUCUUGCUUUUCAUAAGUUAUGCAAGCAAAGGUGGCCUCUGCAUAUGCUACUGCAUGAAGAGGGGUCUGCGUACCGUUAGCUAGUAGGUGGGGUAACGGCCUACCUAGGCGACGAUGGUUAGCGGGUCUGAGAGGAUGAUCCGCCACACUGGCACUGGAACACGGGCCAGACUCCUACGGGAGGCAGCAGUGAGGAAUAUUGCGCAAUGGGGGAAACCCUGACGCAGCGACGCCGCGUGAGUGAAGGAAGGCCUUCGGGUCGUAAAGCUCUGUCAAGAGGAAAGAAGUGUACAAUGGCUAAUACCUGUUGUAUUUGACGGUACCUCUAAAGGAAGCACCGGCUAACUCCGUGCCAGCAGCGGC
rnacentral:rRNA from 1 species